UUCAAAUUAACACUGAUGGAGUUGCUGUGUUCAAGUCAUCUAAAUUUGGUGUUUGGCCUGUGUAUGCAGUUAUCAAUGAAUUGCCACCUGAUGCAAGAUUCACAAGAGAAAACCGUAUCUUCUUAGGACUAUGGUUUGGAACUCAGAAACCAAAUAUGAAACUACUUUUUGGAUCCUUUUUGAAAGAAUUCAAUUUGCUUUUUACAGGCAUUCCCAUGAGUAUUAAAGAAGAACAGUUAACAGUUAAAGCCAUUCUUCUUAGCUGCACAGCUGAUGCACCAGCGAGAUGUUUAAUGAUGGAUUUUGUCCAGUUUAAUGGUAAUUAUGGGUGUCCUUGUUGUCUAUCUCCUGGAGAAACAUUUGCAAUAUCGGCAACAGGGAACUCGCAUAUAUACCCCUACAAGUCAGAA